rnacentral:rRNA from 1 species
GACGAACGCUGGCGGCGUGCUUAACACAUGCAAGUCGAACGGUGAAGCGCCUUCCUUUUUGGUGGGUGUGGAUGAGUGGCGAACGGGUGAGUAACACGUGAGUAACCUGCCCCCUUCUUCUGGAUAACCGCAUGAAAGUGUGGCUAAUACGGGAUAUUCUGGGUCUGUCGCAUGAUGGGUCUGGGAAAGAUAUUGUUUCGGUGGGGGAUGGGCUCGCGGCCUAUCAGCUUGUUGGUGGGGUGAUGGCCUACCAAGGCGGUGACGGGUAGCCGGCCUGAGAGGGUGGACGGUCACACUGGGACUGAGACACGGCCCAGACUCCUACGGGAGGCAGCAGUGGGGAAUAUUGCACAAUGGGCGCAAGCCUGAUGCAGCGGCGCCGCGGGAGGGAUGGAGGCCUUCGGGUUGUGAACCUCUUUCGCCAGUGAAGCAGGCCUGCCUCGUUUGUGGGUGGGUUGACGGUAGCUGGAUAAGAAGCGCCGGCUAACUACGUG